rnacentral:rRNA from 5 species
AACUUUCAACAACGGAUCUCUUGGCUCUGGCAUCGAUGAAGAACGCAGCGAAAUGCGAUACGUAAUGCGAAUUGCAGAAUUCAGCGAGUCAUCGAAUCUUUGAACGCACAUUGCGCCCGCCAGCAUUCUGGCGGGCAUGCCUGUCCGAGCGUCA